rnacentral:ncRNA from 1 species
UGGUAAGCGACUCAGGGCACGAGGUGGAUGCCUUGGGACAUGCCGGCGAAGAAGGACGGAGAAGGCCACGAAAGAGUGCGGUUAGCUGCCAAACGAGCGUAUGACCCGCACGAGUCCGAAUGGAGAAAUCCAAGGCGAGUAAAGUCGUCUUAUCCCAUGGUGAGUGAAGUAGCCAUGGGAGGCACACGGAGGGAAUUGAAACAUCUCAGUACCUCCAGGAAAAUAAAUCAAUCCGAGAUACCCCGAGUAGUGGCGAGCGAAACGGGUAGAGCCUAAACCGCUGAACGUGAGUUUAGCGGUGUUGCGGGACCUCAAUAUACUAGCUUGAUCUGUAACCAAACUGCAUGGGAAGGCAGGCCAUAGAGGGUGAUAGCCCCGUCGGUGAAACGGAGAGAGCGGUUAGAGGAAUCCCAAGUACCAUUGGGUUGGAGACGCCCUGUGGGAAUCCGGGUGCACCAUCAUCCAAGGCUAAAUACGAGCAUGUCACCGAUAGCGCAUAGUACCGCGAGGGAAAGGUGAAAAGAACCCCGUAAAGGGGAGUGAAACAGAAUCUGAAACCCCGUGCUUACAAGCUGUAGGAGGGCUAUGUCCCGCAAGGGAAAAUGCCUGACUGCGUACCUUUUGCAUAAUGAGCCAGCGAGUUAGUGUCGGUAGCAAGGUUAACCCGUAUACAGGGGGAGCCGUAGCGAAAGCGAGUCUGAAUAGGGCGAAUGAGUUGCCGGUACUAGACCCGAAACGCGAUGAGCUAGGCAUGGCCAGGUUGAAGCAUUCGUAACAGGAUGUGGAGGACCGAACCGGUAGCCGUUGAAAAGGCUUCGGAUGAGCUGUGUCUAGGGGCGAAAGACCAAUCAAAUUGCGUGAUAGCUGGUUUUCCCCGAAAGCUAUUUAGGUAGCGUCUUAUGGAGAGUCAUCGGAGGUAGAGCACUGACUGGGCUAGGGGCCUU